rnacentral:rRNA from 1 species
UGGGAAUAUUGCACAAUGGGCGAAAGCCUGAUGCAGCAACGCCGCGUGAGUGAUGAAGGCCUUCGGGUUGUAAAGCUCUGUCUUUUGGGACGAUAAUGACGGUACCAAAGGAGGAAGCCACGGCUAACUACGUGCCAGCAGCCGCGGUAAUACGUAGGUGGCAAGCGUUGUCCGGAUUUACUGGGCGUAAAGGAUGCGUAGGCGGAUUUUUAAGUGAGAUGUGAAAUACCCGGGCUUAACUUGGGUGCUGCAUUUCAAACUGGGAAUCUAGAGUGCGGGAGAGGAGAAUGGAAUUCCUAGUGUAGCGGUGAAAUGCGUAGAGAUUAGGAAGAACACCAGUGGCGAAGGCGAUUCUCUGGACCGUAACUGACGCUGAGGCAUGAAAGCGUGGGUAGCAAACAGGAUUAGAUACCCUGGUAGUCCACGCCGUAAACGAUGAGUACUAGGUGUAGGAGGUAUCGACCCCUUCUGUGCCGCAGUUAACACAAUAAGUACUCCGCCUGGGAAGUACGAUCGCAAGAUUAAAAACUUAAAGGAAUUGACGGGGUCAUAGCUGUUUCCU